rnacentral:lncRNA from 1 species
UAACGGUGGAUCUUCGUUUCUCAUUCAUGACAGAGUAAGAACGUGAGAGUUGAACAGGAUGACGCAAGAAGAUGAUGGAAUCUAGAGUUUAUGGAUCUGAAUAUUUUGAAACUAGGAGCAGAGUAUCAGAAAAACAGGGAGAAGGUUGACGAAAAGACGGGUUUAUGAGAAGAUAAGAGAGGAAGGAAGCAUAAGACUUUUUCAUUUUUGAUGGAAAACGCGUUGCACCUUGUUAAGGCUAAUAAGGAAACGAAUCUAUACGUCCAAAAAAAAAAGAGUAUUGGUCAACGAUAACACAUUAACAAGUACUAGUAAACUGAACCGAACCAAAAUACAAUUAUAUUACUACUUACUUUUCCAAGACAGAAAAAAUCAAAACCAAACAAUUUAAACAAAACCAAAUACUAGGUUCGGGAAGAAAAACUAGAAACUCGAACUAAAAUACCCACUAAAAUAUCCGAACCCGAACCUGAUUCAAAUUGUAAAAAAUAAUGAAAUGAGUUAUGUAAAAAUAUUGGAAAUGGUUAUAUACGAGAUAUAUUUGAACCCGAAGUGUUAUUAAUUAAACAUGAACAAUUAUUCACAAAAAUGAAUGUUAAAGUAACUAAAAGAAACUCAAAAAUUAUUCAAUUCAAAAAUAAUACUGAAAUAGUAUCCAAAAUAAGUAUCUAAUCCCUAAAUAAAUUAUCAAAUCUAAAUUUAAGGUUUAUUUUGAUAUGAUAUCUAAAAAUACUAAAAUAUGAAGUAUUAUUAACUGAAUCUAAAAUGAAUUCAAAUCCAAAUUGGAUUUUCUGCCAAAGUUAUAUAAUAUACCUGAAUUUGAAGUAUUAAUUUACUCAACCCAAACAUAUAUAAAUUUGAAUGAGGUUUUGGAAACAGAAUUUGAAAAUCUAAAAAUCCGAUCUAAACCCAAACGGGUACACAAGGUCAAUGGCUACCAAAUGCUAAGACUUAUUUUUCUAAAUUUCUAUCGUCUUUUCAUAAAAUCAAAUUUUUCCAGAAAGAGCCACAUUUAAUGUUCAACAAAUUAGUCUCAAAGAAUGUUGUGGUAGAGUAGUAAAAGGGUUCACAAGGGAACUCCCAAUUAGCCAGCUGCCAUCAAAAAAGACUUGUGGCGUAGCAAAUGGUUUCUAUCUUCAUUUUCUUGUUUUUUUCCUACAAACUUUUAUUCGGUUGUAAAAUUCAACCAAGGCAAACAAAAUAGAAAAUGCCACGUAAAUUUGGUGUGAAGAUAUGUUAAUAAUGAUUGAAGGAAUGAUUUGUCAUCUUAAUUAUGUGGAGGAGAGAAAAUUAUGACUGGUUCAAUGUGGAGGCUGCUUAGAUGUUGCUUUCUUUAGUCUCCCAAUUCUUAAAACCAUGUGGGAUCCUCCUUGUUAGGUUACUAGUCAGCAAGCAAACCCCACGAUUCUUUCUAACUAAACUGCUUUACUUUCAUAUUAUAAUGUAUUUAUUUUUCUCAACAUUUUCAUGUUCUAAUGUUAUGAAAAUCAAUAUAAAAAUAUAUUUUAUAUUAUUCCCCCUGAAAAGAUGAAGAAAAUUUAAAAUGGGCUUAACGUCAAACUUUUCGGCUAAGCUGAACAACUUGGUUUUCUUUUGGGCUUGGAUAUAUAUUGUCAUAGAAAGAACACUUUGAAUACUUGGAACAAAUAUAGUUAUUUUUUUAACUUCAGAUGGUAAAGCUUUAAACUUUGAAUCAACCAGACUCAGUAUAAGAUCUCAGAUAAUAGAUUAUAUGCAUCUUUCAAGGGAUCAAAUCUGAUUUAACUCUGGUAUACUGAUGAUUAGCCACACUUCUCAUAGCCAAAUCUAUUCAGGUUUAAACUCAAAAAUGUCUAACGCCGCAAAAAUAGUCAAACCUUUAUAAAAUCAUGAGUAAACCCCUCAACGGGUGAAAAACAUGUCUCCACAAAAAGAAGAAACACCACACAACCUCUCGGAUGUUUUCUACUUUUAAAACAAAAAUACUCGAGAUAAUGGACGAACAGACAGAAAGAAGAUUGGUCGAAAAAAACGGUAUUACCGGCGAAUUCUACUCAAUGAUUCCGGCUCCUUCAAUGUCAACUUCACCCAUCCCUGUGUCCUCUUCUUCUUCUCCACUUUCUUCAUCCCCGCUGAUUUCUUCAUUGUCCAUUCUUAGCUUAGCCAUGUGUUCUGUCAGCAUCUUAUCAUCUCUUUCACUCACCUGUCAAACACACAUUUUAAGACUCUACAAAUAAAGGAAAGCUAGUUCUUGUAAUAUGCAACUUGGGAUGGUUCAACAACUAAAGAAGAAGAUACUCACAGCUCUAGGUGCUUCCUUAACGACGAGCUUGCCUUUGUGUUGAUCAAUUGUCUCGGUGCAAGCUACUAUGGCUUCCGUCAGAAUUUCAAUCCCUUGGUCCUGUUUAUUAUGUUAUUAGACACUGACAAGAUUAAAUACAAUAAGAUAAAAACAUAGCUUCAAAAUAAGAGAUUGUCUAACCUUGUCAAGAGUCUGAGUAGUAAGGACAUAAAGAGGCGGAGCAACCAACUUAAUCUUCACAGGACAGUCAUCGUUUCCAGCAGCUUCAGCCUUUCUCAUGGCCUCCUGAAAUUGAAAUUACAAGUAUGUGUGUGAGAAAAUCAAAUGAUGUAUUCUUUCCAUAUGUUAUAGAUAAUCAAAUAAGAGUUUACGACCUUGAUGUGGACAACUCCGUCAAACUGAAAACAUUUCAACUCGAUAUCAGCACGGAUUUUCAUCGGUUGUGGUGUCAUCCUCCUCCUAAUGUUCUUCACAAGAGCAUCCUUCACUUCUUCCGUAACAGCAGGUACAACUUUAGUCACCUACAAAUAGAAAUAUCCCAAGAUUAGGAACAAAAACAAAAAAAAUGAAGCCAGAGAACAAAGUAAUAUACCUCCUGCCCAUCAGGCCCAACUUCUUUGACCUCACGUGUGAGUGAACCCAACACUGAAUCAGGAUCAGUCACUAAGAUCUUGAAAGCCUGAACAAAACAAAAAAACAAAAAUCUCUAAAUACUAAAUAUCUACAUGAAUACAGCAAAAGCUCAACUCACAAACUCUUACCUCAAAAGCAUGACCAUGUUUCCGGUACAAAGGCCACCCAAUGUUCACAUACAACUCCUGCAAUAGAUAAAUUCAAAUCAAUGUACAUAACAACAAGGUGGCUAAUUUACACUAGAUACAUAAGUUUCAUAAUCAAUAUCACUAAAGAUUCAAUUUUUUAUUUAAUCAAAUCAAUGCAAGCUACUAUGAUUACACAAAGGUAGCUACUUUACACUAGAUACAUGAAUUUGCAUAACCAAUAUCACUAAAGAUUCGAUUUUUACUUACUCAAACUCAAUUUAAGCUACUAUGAUUAUUACACAAAGGUAGGUAAAUAAUUUGCAUAAUCAAUAUCACUGAAGAUUCGAUUUUUAUUUACUCAUACUCAAUGUAAACUACUAUGAUUACACAAAGGUAGCUACUUUACACUAUAUACAUAAUUUGCAUAAUCAAUAUCACUAAAGAUUCGAUUUUUAUUUACUCAAACUCAAUGUAAGCUACUAUGAUUACACAAAGGUACAUAGUUUGCACUAAAGAUUCGAUUUUUAGUUAUUCAAAUCUAUGUAUGGUUACACAAAGGUACAUUAAAGAUUCGAUUUUGAGUUACCUCCAAAUCGAUAGAAAGAGUCUCAGCGACAUGACGCAUGAUAGAAUGAACGAGCUUGCUCUUGUUAUACCUCUCUUCACAAGUCUGAAUAUCUUCCUCACUAACUCUACGUUUGCUCAGAUCAAUGUAACCUUUCUCUUUAUCCACACGCAGGACCAUGACGGGCUCGAUUCUCCCGACCUUGAUCAAGCUGCUCACACUCCGGAUCCGACGGCGGGAGAGCUCGGAGAAGAGGAUCAUGCCUUCGAUGUUGUUGUACUCGAGGAGGGACACGUAGGCUCCCAUGUCGGCGAUGUUCUUGACUUGGAUCAUCACAGCCAUGUCGACUUCUGGGUACUUGGCUUCGUACAUCCGGCACUCUAGAUUCGGGGUUUGACUCGCCAUGGUUGAAGAGGAUUAGGGUUUUGAGCGACCAAUCCAAGUGUUCUGAUUCUUUACCUACAAUAAAUAAAUAAAAAGAUUAGCUUAUGUAACCAACAUGUGACAUUAAGGCUUAUGUAAGGUUACUCACUGUGUAGAUGUUCAAAGAGUGAACCGUUUGGAGCAUAUUCAAAGAUCAAGAUCCUGGUGAAAGGUUCCUUUUCUUCACAGUAGCCAAGAAGGUUCACAAAGUUCUUGUGGUUUAUCUUGGAUAGCAUUUCAAUCUAAAAAUAAUGAAACCAAAAAUUAUAAGAUUGACUAUAUUGGUCAAAGACAUGAAAAGCAUAACUAUUUUUUUUUUUUGUAACACAUAUAAAAAGUAUAACUAAUAUAACAUACCUUCUUCCUGAAUUGAAUCUCUGUAUUUUCUUUCCAGUCAUUGGCACAAGUAGUGUCAAUAGAAGCAACAGCUAUCUCCACUCCACUUGAUAGUGUUCCUUUGAAGAGCUUCCCAAUGGGGCAUGAUCCAAUGACAUUACUGAAGUCUUCACAUGCAGCUUCAAUCUCUGAUCUUUUGAGAGUUGGGAUACCUGAGUAAUAAAAACACACAUUAGUUGAGAAACAUUAUGAAGUUAAGUGAACUCACCAAACAUAACGUGACAAAUGAGAAAGAAUAUUAUUACCAGUUACAAAUACUUUCUGAAGUUGUCCGCUAAGACCUGUACGCCAAGGAUUCACUGACUUCCCUACUUUAUUUUUAAAGUAGAACACACCGGUAGCUACAAGGAGGACGAGAACAACACCGCCCACGCAGGCAAGAACUACAGGAACAACCACUGAAGAAGAAGACGAAGAGGUUCUUGGAGUAGGAGAGUUUUCAUGGGGAACAGACGUAGGAGGAGGAGUAGGAGGAGGUGAAGUAGAAGCAUCUUGCGUAGGUUCUGGAUCCGAAGCUGUUGAAGAAUGAGUUGAGACAUUUUUAUGAGAAGGUUGUGGGGAUGAUGGUGGUGUGAUAGUUGCAGCUGCAGGCAUAGCCUCGCGGCUGUUUCUUCUGGAAGGCAAGUUGUCGUAUGUUAAUGGCUCACGAGGUACAAGUGCUUUCCUGUGAAACCCAACUGCUUUCCUACAGAGAAAGUAGAAAAACAAAAAUAAGGUUAUGUCAUUGCAACAUGAAUUCAAGGCGGUCCUGGCCCAAGCCUAACGAAACAUUCUUCUUAGGUCCCAAAAUUUUUGAAAAAGUUUAUAUAUAGAUAUGCUCCAAAAUUAUUUUAGUUCCCCAAAUUAAAAUCUUUACUAAAUCGUGUAAGACCCCAAAAUCUCAGACCGUCCCCUUUUAAGAUCAAAAUGAUAAAUAUACAUGUUUAGUGUUGAUUCUAGAAGUAAAUUAAAUAUCUGUGGAGCAAGACAGAUUGAUUCGUUAUCAAGAUUGAUAUCUAAGAGAUGAGGUUUACUCUGCGAUAUUAUAUAUCUUUUAGGAUUAUGAAAAUCAUUUUUAGUAGACUAAAAAAAAGUUAAAGAAAAUGAAUAUUGGAUUUUGAGGCUGUAUGAAUAUGGAUUUAAAAACUUGUAAAUUAUUUAUUUACAUAAUCAAUAUUAAAACCUUAUAACGGAUAUUUACCUCAAAAUAGAGUGUUGCUCUCUAAAUUUUCUAGAUUUUUCUUGUUUGAUUAGCGUUUGUUCACAACAAUCACUAACAAUACUUACUUGUAACUAACAACGGUUUUUUUUUUCUACAUAACAUACGAUACAGAGUGUGUGUGUGUGUGAAGUCACUCAAGUUAUGGAAUGACUAGAGAAACUAUAGAUCUACCAACCAACCACCAACUACAAGUUCAAGUUGUUGUUAUACCAAACAAGAUUUGAGAUAAAUAAACUUACAGAAUUGCUGAGUCUUCAUCAGACCAUAGAUCUUUCUCUAAUCUAUCUUUAUCUAAACCUGAAAACACAAAGCGAAACAGAGAAGGAUGAAAACAUAUUCUCAGGGAACUCGUUCAGACAAAACAUGCAAGAAAGCUUCAGGUACCUUCUUCCUUAAGCGAAAAACACGAGCCGAAGCUGAGAAGGACUACAAAAGCCAUAAGAGAACGCAUCUUUAGUAUCGAACUAACGGUGGAUCUUCGUUUCUCAUUCAUGACAGAGUAAGAACGUGAGAGUUGAGCAGGAUGACGCAAGAAGAUGAUGGAACCUAGAGUUUUAUGGAUCUGAAUAUUUUGAGACUAGGAGCAGAGUAUCAGAAAAACAGGGAGAAGGUUGACGAAAAGACGGGUUUAUGAGAAGAUAAGAGAGGAAGGAAGCAUAAGACUUUUUCAUUUUUGAUGGAAAACGCGUUGCACCUUGUUAAGGCUAAUAAGGAAACG